GAUGAACGCUGGCGGCGUGCCUAAUACAUGCAAGUCGAGCGAACGGACGAGAAGCUUGCUUCUCUGAUGUUAGCGGCGGACGGGUGAGUAACACGUGGAUAACCUACCUAUAAGACUGGGAUAACUUCGGGAAACCGUAGCUAAUACCGGAUAAUAUUUUGAACCGCAUGGUUCAAAAGUGAAAGACGGUCUUGCUGUCACUUAUAGAUGGAUCCGCGCUGCAUUAGCUAGUUGGUAAGGUAACGGCUUACCAAGGCAACGAUGCAUAGCCGACCUGAGAGGGUGAUCGGCCACACUGGAACUGAGACACGGUCCAGACUCCUACGGGAGGCAGCAGUAGGGAAUCUUCCGCAAUGGGCGAAAGCCUGACGGAGCACCGCCGCGUGAGUGAUGAAGGUCUUCGGAUCGUAAAACUCUGUUAUUAGGGAAGAACAUAUGUGUAAGUAACUGUGCACAUCUUGACGGUACCUAAUCAGAAAGCCACGGCUAACUACGUG
rnacentral:rRNA from 1 species